ACGACGCAUUACAUGUCGCGGAAGGGAGUCUACGCAUUGAACACCGUGAUCACAUGUGAUGCCGACCUCUGGAUGUCAGUCCAUGUUUCCUGGGGUCAUGUCAUGACUCGUGGGUAUGGCGGGGGAGCCCUCUCCGUCAGCACCUGAAAGCAAAACUUCGGCUUGCUUGGAGACUCCAGCUAUACAUUAGAACCGUGGCUCCUGACACCAGUGCCCGGACGACCAGCUCGUGGCACCCCUGAUAACCACUACAACAAGGCCCACACCGCCUUGCGCAAUGUUGUGGAGUGGUGCAUCGCUGUAAGCUUGUGCAGAGCUGCACAAGCAUCAUCGCUGCUUGUGCAGCUCUGCACGACAUUGCGUUGGCGGCACAUGAGCCUGUUCUCGAAGGGGACGAUGAUGACACCGACGAUGCUGAGCUGCUGCCAGCAGCAGCUGAGCUACCACCACCACAACGGGAGCCAGCAGCAGCGCAACCGUGUAGUGAACCUGUUUCGAGAACCACAGGGCCUGCAUGCUUGAGCACCUGCGCAGAGUACGCCGC